CAACCACCAUUCAUGGUAGCAAAAAAGCACCUGCAAAAUCAGUAAAGGAAAGAAUUGCAGACAGUCAAGAACAUAUAUCAACUAGAAUGGACCACGCAGUAUCCCUCAAGGAAGAAUCAAGAAUGUUUCCACAGAGAAUAUACAUAUUUCAUCUCUUUCUCUGAUGAAUGGAUGCCCACUGAAAGCCAUGAAUUACUCUUAUUAGACCCUGUAGAAUCCCAGUUUAUGGCAGUGACAUUAAAAACACCUAGUUUAUGACUUGGAUCAGGCAGCCUGUAAAAUGGCUUCCAGUGAUCCCUGCUUUCUGGUAUGUAUGCCCUUGUAUAAUACCCUCCUCAUGAGUGUAGGCAGAGGUAACAUCGCUUUUGAAACUAGGCUAUAUAUAUUAAAAUAAAAAAACAAACCUGUGGCUUCC
rnacentral:lncRNA from 10 species